GGGGAUAUAGCUCAGUUGGUACAGUGCUUGUCUUGAAUGCAAAAGGCCCUGAGUUCAAUCCCCAGUACCA
rnacentral:tRNA from 1 species